GACAGAGGGUGCAAACGUUGUUCGGAUUUACUGGGCGUAAAGCGCGUGUAGGCGGCUUGGCAAGUCGGAUGUGAAAGCCCACGGCUCAACCGUGGAAGCGCAUCCGAAACGGCCUCGCUCGAGUCUCGGAGAGGAAGGUGGAAUGCUUGGUGUAGAGGUGAAAUUCGUAGAUAUCAAGCAGAACACCUGCGGCGAAGGCGGCCUUCUGGACGAUGACUGACGCUGAGGCGCGAAAGCCAGGGGAGCAAACAGG
rnacentral:rRNA from 1 species